rnacentral:lncRNA from 1 species
UCCGAGAAAACCCAACUACUCUGCAUGAGGUUGCAAAACAACGCGAAUUGAGUGGGACGCUGGAAAGUGAGUCGGACGGGAUGUUGAAAAAGCAGAUCUCUCAUGCUAAGUCCAAAGAACUUAGUGGGCAUGACAUAUUUGCACCUCCACCUGAAAUCUUGCCCAGGACGGUGGUUUCACACGCACACACAAUGCAUCAAGAUAUGGGAGAACCUGCACCACGUAAUUUACGCACAUCUGUCAAAGUUUCUAAUGUAAGUGACUUUGUUGUGUUUGUCCUUACUCUUACCUCUGUCUUAAGCAUGAGAAAAUAGUUAUGUGGCAACUGAUACAGCAUGUCAGUUGAAAGUAACCACCUCCCCUCUUCCUUGGUGGCUUUGAACCUGGGUAGUUCUAUAUUCAAUGAAGACAUGCUAUUAUUGGUUGUCACAUUGGGAUAGAAGUCAACCACAUGACGUUUGAUACGUAUUGAAGUUUUUUCUCAUCAAGUAGGCCUAGUAAAAUGCAAUAUUUGAGAAGCUUCGAUGGAAUUAACCAAUGAUUAUCCAUGAUGCUUCUUGCAAGCAUAGCACUAUAUCGAUUCUUUCUCUAAAUCAUUCUUCUGAGGUAUUCUUGGAUCUAGAAUGACCUGACUUUAAUACUUUUACAUGGAUCAGCCUGCUGGAGGACAGAGCAAUAUAAUGUCCACUGAGGAACCUGUGCUGAAGACGGCAAAGAAGAUCUAUGACAAGAAAUUUACUGAACUUUCGGGAAACGACAUCUUCAAGGGCGACGUGCCUCCAUCAUCUGCGGAGAAACCACUAAGUGUGGCGAAACUGCGCGAGAUAAGUGGCAACGACAUUUUUGCUGAUGGUAAGGUAGAAUCUCGGGACUACCUGGGUGGCGUGCGCAAACCGCCUGGUGGUGAGAGCAGCAUCUCAUUGGUUUGAUAAGAUACGGCCUGGACCAACUAUUUCACGUGAUAGUCUUGUGUCUGGAUUUUCUUCUGGUUCUCACUGUGAACAUAUUCUGGUAUUACUCUCCUUUCAUUAAAUUCGUCGAGGGAUACGGCAAACUUCAUUCCAGUAUUUAACAUGAUUGGCUAGAGAUGUGACCGAUGUGCUAAUUGGUGUUAUGUGUUCAUACUUGCGUUUGGUUUAGCGAUUGUCCUAAUUUUCUGCAAGUUCAUCUACUGCAAUGAAUGGUUGCGUUUGUCCGUUCCAUCUUCUUACUCCCUGUGUAGUGUUAAAUCUUGAUUUCAGUACAUUUCAUUGGGAUACAGUGAUUAUCGAUUCCAUUCUGUUUUCAUCCUGUGCUGCCAAGUGAUUUAUGGCAAUUUUUUGUAGUUACAUAUAGGAUGUGGAACAUUCUCUUGUUAAAAUCCACGUCAAGGGAAAUUGAGUAUGUACGCCCUUUCAUUUAGCAGCCAUUCUCCACCUCGAGAUCGCUGGGCCAACCACCUAAGGUCUUAAUUCAAUAAGAUGUUAUCAAUGCUUGAUUGAUGCAUUCUGCUAAAAUUUGACAGCUACAGCAAACAAAUCAUUGCUGAAGUAUCAUUAGGAAUGGUUGUGGUCAAAAUUUACUUGGAUAAUGUGAUAUCAUAACCUUUUUUUGGGGUGGGGUGAGCAGUGUCGGCAAUCUUCUUGGAUGUAAGCAUAGGAGUUCUACAUUUAUGGCGUACUGUCAUAACUUUAUGUUCAUAGAGAUUUAUCCGAAAAAGAUUGAACUGUUGGUUUAAAUCAUGACAAGGGAAUGCUGAAUUUUUGAGAAUGGAGUGAGGGCCAAGCUAUAAGAGGAAAAUCCGAAACACUGGAGGGUUUACAAAUCCUUUUCGAUGAACUAAUAUCUUCAGUUCAUGCCCUUAAUAUCACAUUCAACUUCUGAAACGUGCUCUUACAUUUUUAUAUGGAUUUCCCAUUCUCCGUUCAUCUUACCUUCCUAAUAUAUAGUCUAGACAUCUUACCCUUCCUUGACUGUUCUGUGCACAGUUGAAUCGCCAUUCAUGCAGUACAAUUGUAAUAAUUAUUACUAAUUAAUAAACAAUACCCAUUAUAUUGGUUAAUUAAUAUAAUAUAAUCAUUACAUAAGCAAAUUGUUCUCAUGAUUAAUACUAUCCAAUCACGCAGGGCGCUAAGCUAUUAUGUAUAAUAGCUAUUAGAGUUUCAGCAGUAAUAGGCAUUAUAACGUUAUACUUACUACUGCAAGCUGAUAUUGUAAUGCGUCAAAGAGGAGUAAUGUAAUAAUCGUUGCCACAACCAAAGCGUCCACUUGUGGCUUCUGAAUCUUUGCUUGUCAUGAAUAUAAGCUCACUUUAUAAUAAUACACUCAUCUACGAAUAUAGAAAGUACCACUGGAGAUAUUUAUUCAUUUGCUAGAAGCUAUAGUUCCUCUUGCAAUUUCAUAUUACUGGGUUGUCUCCACCUCUGGACAAUGGCCACACUAGUGAGCGGCCGGAUGAGCCGAUAACACCUGAGAAACCAUCUUCAUGGAUGGCCUGAGUUGCGGAUUGGUGGAUAAACAAGCAAUUGCGAGCUUGAAGAUGACUAGAAGUUCAUCCUCAGUGCUUGGCAUUGGAGCUGGUAGGCGUGGAUCCAGCAUAUCUUUCAGGACUGUCACAAUCUCCUUAUCCGAUUCAGCUAAUAGGGAUGAGAUGGUUUCGCCUGGAUGUUUUCCAUGGAACACCUGUAUUGCCAUGACCCCAAAGCUGUACACGUCGCAUUUCUCAGUCACUCUCAUCGUGUAGGCAAGCUCUGCACAUAAGAAGAAAAUGCAUUAUUACUGGCAGAUUAUUACUUUUUAAGCUCACCAUAGAGGACUAGUAGAUAUCCAUGGAGUUACCUGGUGCAAUAUAUCCAUAUGUCCCAGCAACAGUGCUCCAAUUCGACGUGUCCAGCUUGAGAAGCUUGGCUGUGCCAAAGUCAGAAACAUGGGCCUCAUACUCAGAAUCAAGCAAGAUGUUGUUGCUUGAUAUGUCUCGGUGAACAAUGGGAGGCACACAGUCAUGGUGCAUGUAGGACAGAGCAUGAGCUAUGCCUCUCACAAUAUUUGCCCUCCUAUCCCAACCCAACUCUUUUGCUUCUCCAUCAUCGCUCAGGGUUGCAGACAGGUUUCCUCUUUCCAGAUACUCAUACACCAAGAACGAGUGUUGGGGAUGUGAGCAGAAGCCACGGAGUCUCACGAUGUUACGGUGUCGUAUUUCUGUCAAUGCCCGUAUCUCAUUCUGAAACUCCUUCUGAUUCGUUUGCCCGCUAUCAGACAUCUGAUGAAGCUUCUUCACAGCCACCACAUCGCCUGAUCUUAGCUUUGCUCUGUAGACUCUUCCAUAUCCUCCACAUCCAAUGCAGUAUCUCUCGUUAAAAUCCUCAGUCGCUGCAAUGAUUUCUUCGUGCAAUAUCCUUCCAUUGUAAGUAGAUAUAGAAAACAUUUUCUCUCUCUCCUGUGCUUGCUCCACUGUCGGCGGUCCUUUCUUCUAUGCAAAAUGUAGUAUACUCCGACGAAAGAAAGCAGGAGAAAUGCUCCAAGUACGAGGAAAACAAUGAGAAACACUUUCUUAACAGUGUUGGAUUUUUUCUUCUGCGGCUCCGAUUGACUACAAGGCUGAAGUCCAUCAACAUUUCCACAUAAUCCAGCGUUGCCUUGUAAUGCUUCUGUUGGAGCAUCUUGGAAUGCCGUGGUGUUUGGAACCGGACCCUGAAACUCAUUGUAGGAUAUGUCAACCGUGGCCAAACCUGGCAUAUCCUCAAAAAUUGCGUAUAUAGGGCCCGAAAGAUUGUUGUGUGAGAGGUCAAGUUUCACUAGACUUUGCAGAUUGCUGAAUUGUGCAGGAAUCUUGCCGAUUAAUGAAUUAUUGUUCAAGUCUAGCUCGGAUAAGUGAAUCAGCAUCCUGAUCUGGCCAGGAAUUUCUUGGCUUAACCGGUUGUUGCUCAGAUCCAAGUGGAAUAAGUCUGCCAACUGCCCGAUACUCUCAGGGAUAGACGAGUUUAAUCUAUUCCUGGACAAAUCCAUCAUUUGAAGACCAGAUAGGGACGCGAUCUUCGGACUUAUACUGCCAGAAAGUUGAUUCCUGCUCAAGUUCAACCUCACCAAAUAGGUCAAUUUCCCGAGUUCCUUUGGAAUCUCGCCAACUAAACCAUUGGAAGAAAGAUCGAGUCCUUGUAGUUCAGUUGCGUUUCCGAUCUCAGGAGGCAAGCUACCAGUGAUGUUGUUCCCAGCAAUUCGUAGAGUCCGCAGACGCUGACAACUUCCCCAGUUGGCCGAGAUUUCUCCAUAGAACUUGUUGAAACUUAAAUCUAUAAAGUCCAAGUUCGGGUAGAUGCCAAAACUGUCGGAUAUGUUUCCAGUGAGUUGAUUCUCCUCGAGGCGUACCCUGAGUAAGCUUGUGCAAUUUCUCAAGCUUUUGGGAAUGAAACCUGUGAGGUUGUUGCCACCCAAGGUGAGAUUGCGAAGUGAUCCACCUCGGCACAAGUUAUCUGGUAUGAAGCCAGUGAAUUGGUUCGUAUCUAAUUGUAGCACCACCAAGCUCAUCAAAUCCCCCAGGAAUCUAGGAAUGGAUCCGGAAAGUUGGUUCUCGCGGAGGAAUAAAUAUUUCAGUUUAGUCAUGUUGCCUAGAGAAGAAGGAAAAGGGCCACUGAGCUGAUUCAUACUCAGCUCCAAAUCGAUCAUAGCUCGAAGGUUUCCCAACUCAUCAGGAAUGUCAUCAGAAAGCAUGUUGCCAUACAGAUAAAGAAGGGUAAGCUCUGUCAAAUUGCCUAAUGUCGAGGGAAUUGAACCGGUAAGAUUAUUGUAGUGUAGGGCGAGUCGACGAAGAAGUUUCAAGUUCCCCAGCUCCGGUGGGAUAGAACCAGUAAGUUCAUUAUCAUAUAUGUGGAGUUGGGUUAGUUUCGUCAAUUUCCCAAAUGUGGAAGGAAUUGGCCCCGUUAGGAAGUUGAUAUCCAUGUAAAUCUCCUCCAAGUUUGUCAAAUUCCCCAUCUCAAGAGGAAUAGGACCAGAAAAUGAACUGUUAUAGAUGUAAAGUCUAGAGAGGCUGCUCAAGUUGCCCAAGGAAGAAGGAAGAGAUCCAUUCAACUGGUUUGAGUACAAGGCAAGCUCGUUUAACAAACGCAACUGACCUAUUUCAUCAGGGAUAGAGCCAUUCAACUCGUUAGAGGGCAAGUGUAACACCUCAAGCUUCAUGAGAUUGCCAAUCUCCCGUGGUAUUUUCCCGGAUAAUUGAUUAUAGGAGAAGUCAAGGUAGGUGAGAUUGGUCAAAAGACCGACUUGAGGUGGAAUACCGCCGAAGAGUUCAUUUAUGUACAUGUCUAUAUAGGUAAGAUACGGCAAAGACGAGAAUGGGAACUCAUCGAGUGUACCUUUGAUGUUCGAAUUGGUGAGAUUGAUUCCAAUCACGCUUCUGGCUAGGUUACACAAGAUGCCGUGCCAACCGCACGGGCUCGACGCUGUUGCAUUGGAGCCGGUAGCAUUUUGAGGAGGGAGAGUCCAUGAAGAUAGAGAAGAGGUGGAUAGGUUUUGGUUUAGAAGGCUUGAUUUCCAUUUGAGAAGGGCUUGUGCUUCUAGUGUGGAGGCAUAAGCAGGAAUUGCACGUUGUGGAAUGAUGACCAAAAGUGCUGUGAAAAGGGCAAAAGAGGCUAGAAGAUUCACUGGUGUCUCCAAUCCUGGUGAGCCCAUGGUUUCUUUCGUUUGUUCUGGAGGUUGAUGAUCAACCAUGAGGCAUAUAUGUAAAGCUUGGUUACUCUGUGUCUGUCAUUCUCCAAUUCCAUUCAAAGAAGGCCAAUUUUCAAAGAUCCUAAAUUUCCUGCUUGCUCAACGGUGCUGAUUGUGAUGGUUCAGAUGUUAACAAUCUGGCCAAUGAGUGAAAACGAGAAAUAGUCUAACCGCGUGUAGAGUUUCAUGUGGUUGGAACAAUGCGUUUGACUCAAAGCUUCCUUGACUCUGUUCUCUUUACUCGGUGCUAUCUCUGGUUUUUCUUGACGUGGGAGUGCCAACAGCCAGAUACUGCUAUUUUAAAGAUGAUAAUGCGUUCGUCAGCUAUCAUCAAUAGGGAAGAAAAUGAAGCCAGUCACUAUCGUUUUGCUCAGACUUUGUGACAGACAGGAAAUUUGACUGAGUAUUUACUCGAUAAAUUAAAUAAAUCUUUUUAAUACCAAGUGGAUCUGCGCUUUGGAUGUUGUAUAUGGCCUAAUUCUUCCUUUCUGGAAGCACUUAUGAUGGAAUUACCUUCCAAGCGCUCUACUGGGAGAGUUUGUAGAUGAAGAGUGGGACACAGAAUAAAGGACCUUCACGUUUAGUUUCUUUUUGAGCCUUUUUAUGGUUUUAACCCCUUUGCUCUUUCCUUCUAGAGGAACGGCGAUGUUUCCUUGUAGCUUCUCGCUGAAUCUGAUUGAUGCUUUGAAUAGUUUAGGUACCUCUUUUACUAUGUGAAUUUCGACUAGAUUUGCUCUUUUAGAAGAGAAGCAGGACAAAAUGUACUUGUGUGAACCUUCUAACUGUACUUUGUUCAGGCAAUAUCUAGAAACAUUCGCAUCAAAGGGAAAAUGAAACGAACAGUAAGAGACUUCUGCUAUUUUCGCCUUAACAUGCGCUCUUAAGAUCGAAAAUCGAGUUUCUGGUCUCUAUAUGACACAACGUUAUUUAUGUAAGUGGGAAACUACCAUGGAAUACAUGGAUUCUAAGUCUUAAAUCACCCUAAACUUUUAUUUCCAUGUAAAUCCACAGUUUAAUAACUCCUUUACUGAAUCUUGCAGUUCAAAUUUACAUUACUCCUGGCCUAAUUCCUAAAAUUACUCUAAUUAGAUGAACAACGAGUUCGAUUAUUUACCAAAUGUUGUAAAACGAAGCCAAUCCAGCUUGGCGAGUUCACAGUGGUGUGUAGACGCAAGCUUUUCUCUCCUCUCUUCCUUGCUAUUAUUGUCAUUGUUUAUGUUUGUUUUUCGCUUUUACACUUCACAUGCAUCUAAUGAAGGAGAAAAGAGUGCAGAUUACAUCGGCCAAUGCAUGGUAGGAUAAUGUAGGUUGAGCUUUUAUUUGUUAAUUCAUUUAUCUUAGAUUUCGCUCUUACAGAUGUUAUAUAUGUGCUUGUUCAACUUUUUUAUUCUGAACUACAAAAGUAUUGGAGAUGUCGAACCUAUAUGCACACAACCAAUAGGCAAAGCCAUAGUAAUAUAUAGAGAUUUCAUUGUGUAUUUAUUACUAAAUACGGAUUCAGUGAUCAGUCGCUGUUUUUGUAAUUAAUUUUUGAGCGAGUUUUGAGGAUAUAUUUUGUUAUCUGGAGCUUAUUUUGUUUUGAAGCUGUCUACGAGUUGUCUUGAUUUGCAGUUGGACUAAAUUAUUUUUCUCUUAUAUUUACGUGGGAAUGAAUGAAAUGUUAUCUUGACCAAAAAAAAAAAAGGGGUAAGAAAGAAGAAUGGGCAAUAGCACCUACGGCUGGGUUUGUGGUGGCGGCCUAGUUUGCCCCGAGUUUACCCCGCCGGCUGCCGGCUGUAUGGGGGGUUUCCGGGUCAUCAAAAUAAAAAAUAAAAAGGGCAAUAACAAACUUAGUUAUAGUCACGGUCACCCUUCAAGUCUGUAUUUUUUACUUGGGGAACGACCCCAUCCCUUCAUAAAAUAAGGGACGAAGCUUUUAAUUAACACAAACCAUUUUCAGAAAUGUAUUAGUCGUAUAAAACCUGACAUUAACGAAAAUAAUCAUAAGGUCCAACGUAUCAUGAAUGUACCCAGCUGAAUUUCCUUCAGAGUCGGUCUAAUAAGCUCAAUAAAAAUAGCAAGAUAGAUCCUAAAUUGAAUCCAUCACUCUCCUCUAUUCUUGAAAUCUGAAAUGGCAAUAAAAGGGGGCGAGCAAAACCCCGGCUCAGUAAGUGAUAAUCACCACUUCCGUGAAAUCAAGUAACGAAGGAUGCGGUUGUACAAUAACAUGCAUAUGCAGGAAUUGCACCUUGUGAAGUGACUGCUAGCAUUGCGAGAAGGGCAACGGGAGUCGGUAGCCAGAAGACGUACCCCUUCCUCUAAAACUUUUUGCCAGUCCUUGAUUUUCUGGUGUGGUUCUGGAGCAUGAUGAUCAACAAAGGGUUGCCUGCUCUGUUUCUGCCGUUGUUCUUUACUCCAUUCAUAAAGGGCCAGCUUUCAAAGAUCUCCCAUUUCAGGAUUUUGAAAGCUUCUGAUCAUGAAGUUUCAGCUAUUGACAAACUGUAUUUUGUUUAUACAGAGCCCCGUGUAUGCUGAAGUAAGUGGUUGACUUCACUCCACCUCGCUAAUUUUUUUUUACCAAUGGGGGACAUUCCUUUGCUUGCUAAAAUACCGACCUUUGACAACUGGAAUGCGUGCAUCACCGGGCAAUAAUUAAUGAGAAAAACAUACGUUGACUUGGAUCGGUCUUCUUUGGCGACUUGUUGACUUGGAUCGGUCCCCAUGUCGGAAUUUGGUCCCCAUCGUUGGGCGAAAUCCAGAGAAUUUGAUAGAGAAGUCGUUGAGGAGAGUGAUAUUCCUAACUUGUUUCACACAUUAUGCAAUUCUAAGCACGCAAAAGGGAAGUCUUCUCAUCCGGCAUUAAUGAAGCCAAAUCCUGCCUCGGUUUUGACCCCGUUCUUGCAGAAACGAUAGCUGAUAAUAAAGCUAAUGAGUUUGGAUCACACCCACUUGCAAACUCACAUCAAUCUAAAGGAAAAUUGAAGAAGAGAAAUCCAAAUUGUCUAUGGCCUGCUUGUUCCAACCUUUUCUGAUAAAUGACAAGGUGGCUGUGGAGACCCGCAUUUAUCGAUAUUUCUCGAUUAUCAAGUUCAUCAUCAUUGCCGGUCUCUUUGGGCCUACGUAGAAAAGCCGAUCCUGAAGUGGCUGCUCAAGAGGCUGUUCAACCGGGAGUUCCCGGGGUGGGCGUCCUGAAUAUUUCAUUGUCAGAGAAGGUGAUCGUUGGCGAAUAACUUCAAUCUAGCUUCUGCUGGAGGCGAUGAGUGCCAGCGUGAGGAUGUGAAAUCGUAGAAUGCAGAGCACGCAGUUUAAAGUUCGUUGAUGGGGAGGGUGCAAAACUAAAUCACGCAGUUCGUAGUUUUGCAAAACUGUAGACACUUCUCGAAUAUCUUUACAUUUUCAUGAUUUCCUAAAUUGUUCAAAUUGUACCACUCUUGUGCAAGUUCGCUGGUGAGGCUGUUGUCAAGGAGGUCAUGCAGAGUGAAGGAGGAGGCGUAAGCAAGAUGAAAAGAAACACAAAAUGGAAAAAGAAAAAAAAAAGAAAGAAAAAGAAAAAAAGCAAAGUCCUUAGAGGAAAGAUUUGGUUGACUUGUAGGUUGAAGCCUUCAUUUGAGAUGGUGCCCACUUUAAGUUGUUUCAUAAAACGGUUUCACUUCAAGUUCUUAUUUGAAAUUUACUAUUAUUUUAUUAUACUUGAAAGUAGAUGAAUAUUUGCAAUUAAAGUAUGUUUACUUAAAGGAAAUCUAAUAUGAAAAUUAAUUUUCAACUUUCUGGUAUUUAUAUGACAAAAAAACUAAUCGAAUUGUGGAUAAAGUUUUUCAUGGAGUGAAACCUAACUAUUUGACUUGAAAAUACUUUUUAUAAAGAAUAUUUUUUUACCAUUAAAUUUUCAGUACAAUAAAAGGACCCUCGUUUCAAAUAAUUUACCUUUUUUGAGCUCCGUAAGUGGGCUCAAUUAUUGAGAAAGAGCGCACUGUGAUUAUUUUGGAAUUUUGAAGUGCUCGAUGGCUCCAAUAGAAAUAGUCCCGCAAGUUAGACGGGGCAAAUAAUUUUGGUGUUGGAUCAUGAAUAUGCAUAACUUGGAUUAUAUCGAAGUUUAAUGACCAUCGCUGGAUCUACAUAUAAGAACUAAUUAUCCUUUUAUUUAUUAGCUUCACGAUUCAUUUUCAUUUUAGUUUAUUGUAUUUAUUAUUAUUGUAAUAUAUCAAAUUAAUGACUAACAUUGCCUUGCUUUGAUUAAAAAAUCUAAUGACCGUAGGAAAGUGAUGGACAUUUGUUUUUAAUUGGUUAUUUCUUUCCCUAUACUAUUUUCCAUGAGCAAGGGAAAAAUUAUUGAAAAUCAAAACGUAAUUGGAUUGAGUAUGAGUUAAAUCCAGUGGAGUUUUGUAUAGGUUGCUAAAUUUGUAUUAUGUAAAGAUGGAACUGUUUGAGUUAAAUGGUUCAAUUUAAAUCGAACCCAAUCUGACCAAUAAAGGUUGUACGAUCAUCAAUUUUACUAGAAAAGCACAAGAUAAAUUUAAGAGACUAUCAAUCCUAAAAGGGCAGAGAGAAGCAUAAUCAAUACUUAAUCACAAUAGACAUCGGGUUGGAUUCCGCAAGUAUCCGAUGCCAUUCAAGAUAAAUUAAAUUUGGCUAAAUAUGCUUUAUACUGCAUUCUAAAAUCUUUGUUUCUCUUACUGUGAAUUCUGAAUAGUUUAUAAUGUGCACCGGUCCUUUUUAAUAAAUGAACUCGAUUUACACGUUCAGUGUUAGGCAAUGAGUUCUUACUAUUAGUGGCCACCAGCAAUUUAUGACUAUGCAGAAAAUGCAAAAUUUUAUUUUUUUACUGAUAAGUGCUGUGAAAAUGUUUGGGCAUAUCUAUAUGUAUAUAUUCCCAUUCAUUCAUUCAUGGUUCCUUUCUUUCCUUCCUUUUUUCUGUACAUUGAAGCCACUUUUUGCAACUUCUAGGAAACCGUGUUCGGGUUACAAAAUGAAGGAGAUAACUGGAAGUGGUAUCUUUUCGGAUAGUGGAGAAACUGAUCCGUCAGAGUCUGGCAAUAUUACUCCUAACAACAGAACAGGAAUCCGAAUGUACCAGGUACUUCUGUUUUCGGUUUUCCUUUUUUGGCCUGGGACAAAUGCACCAGGUCCUAAUUCCUGCAUAGAUAAUCUUAAAUCUCCAUGGUGAUUCCUAAUUUACUUUGACUUCCUCUGUAAAACAUUCCUAGCAAGCCCUUGCUGGAAUCAGUCACAUCUCCUUUGGUGAGGAAGAGAGCGUUUCUCCGAGAAAACCAACUACUGUGCCUGAGGUUGCAAAACAACGCGAUUUGAGUGGGACGCUGGAAAGUGAGUCAGACGGGAUGUUGAAAAAGCAGAUCUCUCAUGCCAAGUCCAAAGAACUAAGUGGGCAUGACAUAUUUGCACCUCCACCUGAAAUCUUGCCCAGGACGGUGGCUUCACACUCACACACAAUGCAUCAAGACACGGGAGAACCUGCACCACGUGAUUUGCGCACAUCUGCCAAAGUUUCUAAUUUAAGUGACUUUGUUGUGUUUGUCCCUACUCUUCCCUCUGUCUUAAGCAUGAGAAAAUAGUUAUGUGGCAACUGAUGCAGCAUGUCGGUUGAAAGUAACCACCUCCCCUCUUCCUUAGUGGCUUUGAACCUGGGUAGUUCUAUAUUCAAUGAAGACAUGCUAUUAUUGGUUGUCGCAUUGGGAUAGAAGUCAACCACAUGACGUUUGAUAAGUAUUGAAGUUUUUUCUCAUUAAGUAGGGCUAGUAAAAUGCAAUAUUUGAGAAGCUUCAAUGGAAUUAACCAAUGAUUAUCCAUGAUGCUUCUUGCAAGCAUAGCACUAUAUUGAUUCUUUCUCUAAAUCAUUCUUCUGAGGUAUUCUUGGAUCUAGAAUGACCUGACUUUAAUACUUUUACAUGGAUCAGCCUGCUGGAGGACAGAGCAAUAUAAUGUCCACUGAGGAACCUGUGCUGUAGACAGCAAAGAAGAUCUAUGACAAGAAAUAUACUGAACUUUCGGGAAACGACAUCUUCAAGGGCGACGUGCCUCCAUCAUCUGCAGAGAAACCACUAAAUGUGGCGAAAAUGCGAGAGAUAAGUGGCAACGACAUUUUUGCUGAUGGUAAGGUAGAAUCUCGGGACUACCUGGGUGGCGUGCGCAAACCGCCUGGUGGUGAGACCAGCAUAUCAUUGGUUUGAUAAGAUACGGCCUGGACCAACUAUUUCACGUGAUAGUCUUGUGUCUGGAUUUUCUUCUGGUUCUCACUGUGAACAUAUUCUGGUAUUACUCUACUUUCAUUAAAUUCGUCGAGGGAUACGGCAAACUUCAUUCCAGUAUUUAACAUGAUUGGCUAGAGAUGUGACCGAUGUGCUAAUUGGUGUUAUGUGUUCAUACUUGCGUUUGGUUUAGUGAUUGUCCUAAUUUUCUGCAAGUUCAUCUACUGCAAUGAAUGGUUGUGUUUGUCCCUUCCAUCUUCUUACUCCCUGUGUAGUGUUAAAUCUUGAUUUCAAUACAUUUCAUUGGGAUACAGUGAUUAUCGAUUUCAUUCUGUUUUCAUCCUGUGCUGCUAAGUGAUUUAUGGCAAUUUUUGUAGUUACAUAUAGGAUGUGGAACAUUCUCUUGUUAAAAUCCACGUCAAGGGAAAUUGAGUAUGUACUCCCUUUCAUUUAGCAGCCAUUCUCCACCUCGAGAUCGCUGGGCCAACCACCUAAGGUCUUAAUUCUAUAAGAUGUUAUCAAUGCUUGAUUGAUGCAUUCUGCUAAAAUUUGACAGCUACAGCAAACAAAUCAUUGCUGAAGUAUCAUUAGGAAUGGUUGUGGUCAAAAUUUACAUGGAUAAUGUGAUAUCAUAACCUUUUUCUUGGGGUGGGGUGAGCAGUGCCGGCAAUCUCCUUGGACAUAAGCAUAGGAGUUCUACAUUUACGGCGUACUGUCAUAACUUUCUGUUCAUAGAGAUUUAUCCGAAAAAGAUUGAACUGUUUGUUUAAAUCAUGACAAGGGAAUGCUGAAUUUCUGAGAAUGGAGUGAGGGCCAAGCAAUAAGAGAAAAUCCGAAACACUGGAGGGUUUACAAAUCCUUUUCGAUGAACUAAUAUCUUCAGUUCAUGCCCUCAAUAUCACAUUCAACUUCUGAAACGUGCUCUUACAUUUUUAUAUGGAUUUCCCAUUCUCCGUUCAUCUUACCUUCCUUUUAUAUAAUCUAGAUAUCUUACCCUUCCUUGACUGUUAUGUGCACUGUUGAAUCGCCAUUCAUGUAGUACAAUGUAAUAAUUAUUACUAAUUAAUAAAACUACAAUAUCCAUUAUUGGUUAAUUAAUAUAACAUAAUCAUUACAUAAGCAAAUUGUUAUCAUGAUAAAUACUAUCCAAUCACGCAGGGCGUUAAGCUAUUAUGCAUAAUAGCUAUUAGAGUUUCAGCAGUAAUAGAUAUUAUAACGUUAUACUUACUACUGCAAGCAGAUAUUGUAAUGCGACAAAGAGGAGUAAUGUAAUAAUCGUUGCCACAACCAAAGCGUCCUCUUGUGGCUUCUGAAUCUUUGCUUGUCAUGUAUAUAAGCUCACUUUAUCAUAAUACACUCAUCUACGAAUAUAGAAAGUACCACUGGAGAUAUUUAUUCAAUUGCUAGAAGCUAUAGUUCCUCUUGCAAUUUCAUAUUACUGGGUUGUCUCCACCUCUGGACAAUGGCCACACUAGUGAGCGGCCGGAUGAGCCGAUAACACCUGAGAAACCAUCUUCAUGGAUGGCCUGAGUUGCGGAUUGGUGGAUAAACAAGCAAUUGCGAGCUUGAAGAUGACUAGAAGUUCAUCCUCAGUGCUUGGCAUUGGAGUUGGUAGGCGUGGAUCCAGCAUAUCUUUCAGGACUGUCACAAUCUCCUUAUCCGAUUCAACAAAAAGGGAUGAGAUGGUUUCGCCUGGAUGUUUUCCAUGGAUCACCUGUAUUGCCACGACCCCGAAGCUGUACACGUCGCAUUUCUCAGUCACCCUCAUCAUGUAGGCAAGCUCUAUGCAUAAGAAGAAAAUGCAUCAUUACUAGCAGAUUAUUACUUUUUAAGCUCACCAUAGAGGACUAGUAGAUAUCCAUGGAGUUACCUGGUGCAAUAUAUCCAUAUGUCCCAGCAACAGCGCUCCAAUUUGACGUGUCCAGCUUGAGAAGCUUGGCUGUGCCGAAGUCAGAAACAUGGGCCUCAUACUCAGAAUCAAGCAAGAUGUUGUUGCUUGAUAUGUCUCGGUGAACAAUGGGAGGCACACAGUCAUGGUGCAUGUAGGACAGAGCAUGAGUUAUGCCUCUCACAAUAUUUGCCCUCCUAUCCCAACCCAACUCUUUUGCUUCUCCGUCAUCGCUCAGGGUUGCAGACAGGUUUCCUCUUUCCAGAUACUCAUACACCAAGAAAGAGUGUUGGGGAUGUGAGCAGAAGCCAAGGAGUCCCACGAUGUUACGGUGUCGUAUUUCUGUCAAUGCCCGUAUCUUAUUUUGAAACUCCUUCUGAUUCGUUUGCCCGCUAUCAGACAUCUGAUGAAGCUUCUUCACAGCCACCACAUCACCUGAUCUUAGCUUUGCUCUGUAGACCCUUCCAUAUCCUCCACAUCCAAUGCAGUAUCUCUCGUUAAAAUCCUCAGUCGCUGCAAUGAUUUCCUCGUGCAAUAUCCUUCCAUCGUAAGUAGAUAUAGAAAACAUUUUCUCUCUCUCCUGUGCUUGCUCCACUUGUCGGCGGUCCUUUCUUCUAUGCAAAAUGUAGUAUACUCCGACGAAAGAAAGCAGGAGAAAUGCUCCAAGUACGAGGAAGACAAUGAGAAACACUUUCUUAACAGUGUUGGAUUUUUUCUUCUGCGGCUCCGAUUGACUACAAGGCUGAAGUCCAUCAACAUUUCCACAUAAUCCAGCGUUGCCUUGUAAUGCUUCUGUUGGAGCAUCUUGGAACACCGUGGUGUUUGGAACCGGACCCUGAAACUCAUUGUAGGAUAUGUCAACCGUGGCCAAACCUGGCAUAUCCUCAAAAAUUGCAUAUAUUGGGCCCGAAAGAUUGUUGUGUGAGAGGUCAAGUUUCACUAGACUUUGCAGAUUGCUGAAUUGUGCAGGAAUCUCACCGAUCAAUGAAUUAUUGUUCAAGUCUAGCUCGGAUAAGUGAGUCAGCAUCCCGAUCUGGCUAGGAAUUUCUUCGCUUAAUCGGUUGUUGCUCAAAUCCAAGAGGACUAAGUCUGCCAACUGCCCGAUACUCUCUGGGAUAGUCAUGCUUAAUCUAUUCCUGGACAAAUCCAUCAUUUGAAGACCAGAUAGGGAUGCGAUCUUCGGACUUAUACUGCCAGAAAGUUGAUUCCUGCUCAAGUUCAACCUCACCAAAUAGGUCAAUUUCCCGAGUUCCUUUGGAAUCUCGCCAACUAAACCAUUGGAAGAAAGAUCGAGUCCUUGUAGUUCAGUUGCGUUUCCGAUCUCAGGAGGCAAGCUGCCAGUGAUGUUGUUCCCAGCAAUUCGUAGAGGCCCAUGUUUCGCCUGGAUGUUUUCCAUGGAUCACCUGUAUUGCCACGACCCCAAAUCUGUACACGUCGCAUUUCUCAGUCACCCUCAUCGUGUAGGCAAGCUCUACGCAUAAGAAGAAAAUGCAUCAUUACUAGCAGAUUAUUACUUUUUAAGCUCACCAUAGAGGACUAGUAGAUAUCCAUGGAGUUACCUGGUGCAACAUAUUCAUAUGUCCCAGCAACAGCACUCCAAUUUGACGUGUGCAGCUUGAGAAGCUGGCUGUGCCGAAGUCAGAAACAUGGGCCUCAUACUCAGAAUCAAGCAAGAUGUUGUUGCUGAUAUGUCUCGGUGAACAAUGGGAGGCACACAGUCAUGGUGCAUGUAGGACAGAGCAUGAGCUAUGCCUCUCACAAUAUUUGCCCUCCUAUCCCAACCCAACUCUUUUGCUUCUCCGUCAUCGCUCAGGGUUGCAGACAGGUUUCCUCUUUCCAGAUACUCAUACACCAAGAACGAGUGUUGGGGAUGUGAGCAGAAGCCACGGAGUCUCACGAUGUUACGAUGUCAUAUUUCUGUCAAUGCCCUUAUUUCAUUCUGAAACUCCUUCUGAUUUGUUUGCCCGCUAUCAGACAUCUGAUGAAGCUUCUUCACAGCCACCACAUCGCCUGAUCUUAGCUUUGCUCUGUAGACUCUUCCAUAUCCUCCACAUCCAAUGCAGUAUCUCUCGUUAAAAUCCUCAGUCGCCGCAAUGAUUUCCUCGUGCAAUAUCCUUCCAUCGUAAGUAGAUAUAGAAAACAUUUUCUCUCUCUCCUGUGCUUGCUCCACUUGUCGGUGGUCCUUUCUUCUAUGCAAAAUGUAGUAUACUCCGACGAAAGAAAGCAGGAGAAAUGCUCCAAGUACGAGGAAGACAAUGAGAAACACUUUCUUAACAGUGUUGGAUUUUUUCUUCUGCAGCUCCGAUUGACUACAAGGCUGAAGUCCAUCAACAUUUCCAAAUAAUCCAGCGUUGCCUNNNNNNNNNNNNNNNNNNNNNNNNNNNNNNNNNNNNNNNNNNNNNNNNNNNNNNNNNNNNNNNNNNNNNNNNNNNNNNNNNNNNNNNNNNNNNNNNNNNNNNNNNNNNNNNNNNNNNNNNNNNNNNNNNNNNNNNNNNNNNNNNNNNNNNNNNNNNNNNNNNNNNNNNNNNNNNNNNNNNNNNNNNNNNNNNNNNNNNNNNNNNNNNNNNNNNNNNNNNNNNNNNNNNNNNNNNNNNNNNNNNNNNNNNNNNNNNNNNNNNNNNNNNNNNNNNAACCGGUUGUUGCUCAGAUCCAAGUGGAAUAAGUCUGCCAACUGCCCGAUACUCUCAGGGAUAGACGAGUUUAAUCUAUUCCUGGACAAAUCCAGUCUUUGAAGACCAGAUAGUGAUGCGAUCUCUGGAUUUAUACUGCCAGAAAGUUGAUUCCUGCUCAAGUUCAACCUCACCAAAGAGGUCAAUUUCCUGAGUUCUUUUGGAAUCUCGCCUAUUAAACCGUUGGAAGAAAGAUCGAGUCCCUGUAGUUUAGUCACAUUUCCGAUCUCAGAAGGCAAGCUACCGGUGAUGUUGUUCCCAGCAAUUCGUAGAUCCCUCAAACGCCGACAACUGCCCCAGUUGACCGAGAUCUCUCCGUGGAACUUGUUGAAACUCAAAUCCAUAAAGUCCAAGUUCGGGUAGACACCAAAACUGUCGGAUAUGUUUCCAGUGAGUUGGUUCUCCUGGAGGCGUACCCUGAGUAAGCUCGUGCAAUUUCUCAAGCUUCUGGGAAUGAAACCUGUGAGGUUGUUGCCAGCCAUGGUGAGGUUUUGAAGUGAUCCACCUCGGCACAAGUUAUCUGGUAUGAAGCCAGUGAACUGGUUCGUAUCUAAUUGUAGCACCACCAAGUUCAUCAAAUUCCCUAGGAAUCCAGGAAUGGAACCGGAAAGUUGGUUCUCACGGAGGAAUAUAUAUUCCAGGUCAGUCAUGUUGCCCAGAGAAGAAGGAACAGGACCGUUGAGCUGAUUCAUACUCAGAUCUAAAUUGAUCAUAGCUCGGAGGUUUCCCAACUCAUCAGGAAUGUUAUCAGAAAGCAUGUUGCCAUAUAGAUAAAGAAGGGUAAGCUCUGUCAAAUUGCCUAAUGUUGAGGGAAUUGAACCGGUAAGAUUAUUGUAGUGUAGGGCGAGUCGACGAAGAAGUUUCAAGUUUCCCAGCUCCGGUGGGAUAGAACCAAUUAAUUCAUUAUCAUAUACAUGGAGUUGGGUUAGUUUCGUCAAUUUCCCGAAUGUGGGAGGAAUUGGCCCUGUUAGGAAGUUGGUAUCCAUGUAAAUCUCCUCCAAGUUUGUCAAAUUCCCCAUUUCAAUAGGAAUGGGACCAGAAAAUGAAUUGUUAUAGAUGUAAAGUCUAGCGAGGCUACUCAAGUUGCCCAAGGAAGAAGGAAGAUAUCCAUUCAAUUGGUUUGAGUACAAGGCAAGCUCGUUCAACAAACGCAACUGACCUAUUUCAUCAGGGAUAGAGCCAUUCAACUCGUUAGAGAGCAGGUGUAACACCUCAAGCUUCAUGAGAUUGCCAAUCUCCCGUGGUAUUUUCCCAGAUAAUUGAUUAAAGGAGAGGUCAAGGUAAGUGAGAUUGGUCAAAAGACCGACUUGAGGCGGAAUACCACCGAAGAGUUCGUUUAUGUACAUGUCUAUAUAGGUUAGAUAUGGCAAAGACGAGAAUGGGAACUCAUCGAGUGUACCUUUAAUGUUCGAAUUGGUGAGAUUGAUUCCAAUCACACUUCUGGCUGGGUUACACGAGAUGCCGUGCCAACCGCACGGGCUUGACACUGUUGCAUUGGAGCCGGUAGCAUUUUGAGGAGCAAGAGUCCAUGGAGAUAGAGAAGAGGUGGAUAGGUUUUGAUUUAGAAGGCUGGAUUUCCAUUUGAGAAGGGCUUGUGCUUCUAGUGUGGAGGCAUAAACAGGAAUUGCACCAUGUGGAAUGAUGACAAAAAGUGCCAUGAAAAGGGCAAAGGAGGCUGGAAGAUUCACUGUUGUCUCUAAUCCUGGUGAAUCCAUGAUUUCUUUUGUUUGUUCUGGAGGUUGACGAUCAACCAUGAGGCAUAUAUGUAAAGCUUGGUUACUCUGUUUCUGUCAUUCUCCAAGUCCAUUCACAGAAGGCCAAUUUUCAAAGAUCUCCGAUUUCCUGCUUGUUCAAUGGUGCUAAUUGUGAUGAUUCAGAUGUUGACAUUCGGGCCAAUGUGUGAUAACGAGAAGUAGUCUGAUCGAGGGUAGAGUUUCAUAUGGUUGGAACAAGGUAUUUGACUUUGACUCAAAGCUUCCUAAGCUCUGCUCUCUUUAAUUGAUGCUUUCUCUGGUUUUCCUCAACGUGGAGGUGCGUACGGCCAGAUACUGCUAUUUUAAAGAUGAUAAAUCGUUCAUAGCCAGUCAAUAUCGUCUUGCUCAGACUUUGUGGCUGCAGACGCGAAAUUGUCUGAGAGCAUUUACUCGAUAAAUAAAUAAUUGUUUUUUAAUACCAAGUGGAUCUGCUCUCGGAUGUUGUAUACGGCUAGUUCUUCCUUUCUGGAAGCACUGGAAGCACUUAUGACGGAAUUGCCUUCCAAGCAGUCGACUGGGAGAGGUUGAAGUCUACCAUGGAAUACAUGGGUUCUAAGUCUAAAAAACACCCUAAACUUUUAUUUCCAUAUAAACCCACAGUUUAAUCACUCCUUUACUGAAUCUCGCGGUUUAAAAUUUACAUUACUCCAAAUUCAUGGCCUAAUUCCUAAAAUUACUCCGAUUAAUGAACAACGAGUUCAAUUAUUUUUUGAACAUUGUAAGAUGAAGCUACUCCGACUUGGCGAGAUCCUUGCAGCGUGUAGACGCAAUUUUUUCUCUCCUCUCUUCCUUCCUGUUAUUGUCACUGUUUAUGUUUGUUUUUGCUUUUACGCUUCACAUGCAUCUAAUGAAAGGAGAAAAGAGUGCGGAUUACAUCGGCCAACGCAUGGUAAGGUAAUGUAGGCUGAGCUUUUACCAGUUAAUUCGCUUCUCUCAAAUUUUAUUGGAGGACAAGUCUAAAUUUAAAGGUGAUUGGAGAAUCUUCUUGAAGGUUUUGCUCUUAUAAAUGUCACAUCUAUACUUGUUCAACUUUUUUAUUUUGAAUGAAGAAAGUGUUGGGGAUAUCAAAUCUAGGCGUGCACCACCAAAUGGCAAAGCCAUAGUAAAGAUGGAGAUUUUUUGGUGAAAGGUAAUCAUAAUAAGCUAUAACCAAUAUUUACAACAAAAACGACACCAAAACAUACACUCAUAAUGAACAGAGGCAUAAUGAGUGGAAGGGUGCCAAAAGAAGAAGAAGAGGGAAGCUAACAAGGCACAAAAAUGUGGUUGAGCCGCACAACUAUGGCCACAUCCAAAAGAUGGACCAAACAAAAGAAGGCGACCGGUCAGCCAAACAAUGGCAACCCAAGCCAAAAACCAAACAAAACGUUAUCGCCCAAAUGGAAAGGACGAGACAACCGGCAGGAAUCAAGGUCAACACCGAAACAUCAGGAAUGCGAAGCACAAUAGUAGACCCUCCUGCACCACCACUCCAAUUUGGAAAUACUACGGAUGCGCUAGAGUAGAAGAGAAGAUGCAAGGGUCUAUCCCCUAGCUACGUUGAAGUCUCCUGUUUCUUGGGUUAUCUUCAACAUUCGAGAAGGUUAAAGCCUUAUCCUUAACCACUUUUAGUAAAGAUGGAGAUUUCAUUGUAUGUUUAUUACUAAAUAUGGAUUUGGUGAUUAGUUGCUGUUUUUAUAAUUACUUUUUGAGCGUGUUUUGAUGACAUAUUUUGUUAUUUAGAGCUUAUUUUGUUUUGAAGCUGUUUAUGAUUUGUCUUGAUUUGGAGUUGGAUUAAAUUAUUUUUCUCUUGUAUUUAUGUGGGUGGGAAUGAAUGAAAUGUUAUCUUGACCAAAAAGAAAAAAGGUGAGAAAGAAGAACGGGCAAUAGCAAACUUAGUCAUGGUCACCGUCCAGGUCUGUAUAUAUUAUUUGGGGAACAACCCCAUCCCUUCAUAAAAUAAAGGACGAAGCUUUUAAUUAAAAUAAACCAUUUUCAGAAAUGUGUUAGUUGGAUAAUACCUAACAAUAAUGAAAAUAACCAUGAGGCUUAAUUUAUCAUGAAUGUACCUAGCUGGAUUUCCUUCAGGGUCGGUCUAAUGAGCUUAAUAAAAAUAGCAAAAUAGAUCCUAAAUUGAAUCCAUCACUCUCCUCUAUUCUUAAAAUCUGAAACGGUAAUAAAAGGGGCGAGCAAACGGCUCGGGUAAGUGAUAAUCACCACUGCUGUGAAAUCAAGUAACGAACAAUGGAGUUGUACAAUAGCAUGCAUAUGCAGGAACUGCACCUCGUGAAAUGACUGCAAGCAUUGCGAGAAGGGCAACGGGAGCUAGAAGAUGUCCUCCUCCCUUUAAAAGCUUUUUGCCAAUCCUUGAUUUUCUGGUGUGGUUUUGGAGCAUAUAUAAAGCUGCUCUGUCUCUGCCAUUGUUCUCUGAUCCGUUCAGAAAAGGCCAGCUUUCAAAGAUCUUCCAUUUCAGGAUUUUGAACGCUUCUGAUCAUUAAGUUUCAGCUAUUGACAAACCGUCUAUUUCGUUUAUACAGAGCCUCAUGUUUGCUGAAGUAAGUGGUUGACUUGACUCCACCUCACUUAGUUCUUUUUUUUUUUUUUUUUCCAUUCUUAUGGGAAACAUCCAUUUGCUUGCUAAAAUACCGACCUUUGACAACUGGAAUACUUGCAUGACCAGGCAAUAAUUAGUGAGAAGAAUAUACGGAAGAAAAGUAUACGGGAGUGGUUACGUCUCCACUUGGACUUUUAGAACGGGAGUAGUUACGUCUCCACUUGGACUUUUAGAUUGUAGCACCAGUAAUUUGACCAAGAGCAUGGGUUUCCUUUGACUUCUUCAAGACUUGGGCACUCCUAGCAUUUAUGAUUUCAAUUUUUGCUUUUUGCUUAAUUUAAAUCUUGCAAUUCGGCCAUUUUAAUUGUUUUUUUUUUCAAUUCAAAAAUCCCGAAACUGAGAUAUGAAGCACGUUCAAGAAUUAAGAUUGAUUUGACCUGACUAUCGAAGAAGGUUGGGAGAAUAUAACUAUCUCGGUACACCUCAAUUCGGAUAAUUGUUACUUCAUUUUGCCCCCUAUACUAUUCAUUUACAGAGUUUUCCGAAACUUUGAUUUUACAAUGUCAAGUUUUACUUAGAUUGACUGAUGGUGGCAUCAAACAUUGGUCUACUAUAAUUUCUUGUUUCAAGUUCAGAAAACUCUGAGCUCUCAUCCAGAUGAAAUACAUGAGGGAAGCUGUUCCGACAUGUUUUGCAUAAGGUAAUAUAAGUUCACUAUUGUGAAAAACAGAGAAGAUGGUGGCGGUACAAUGUAAAUGAUUUUUACUUUUAUUGACAAUGGAGUGAGGCCGAGAGAAAAUAGAUAGCAUGAUUCAAUUCCCUCAAGAUUUUGGAGGGCAGGAUCUUUUGUCGAAAUUAAAUGGCCUUCCUUUUUUCUUUUUAUUUAUUAUUUCUCGUUAAGGGCUGAAAAAUGAAUGUCCUCUGCCUUAUCACAAUUGAAGUAUAAGGUAUUAGCAGAACAAAACUUGCAUUCUUUCCAAGACAAAGCAUUGUACUAUAAAAUCUCCUCUUGUGACAAAAUUAGGACCCGUGAUCUUCCUAAUUUAAGCACUUUUAAGUUCAAAGCUCUAACGAAAACAAAUUCUGUAUUCCCUCUAGUGCCAUAUUCUUUUUGGAGCAAUCAACAGCUACUGAAUUUCUUAUAAAGACUCAUGCCACAUCAACAUGCAUGUAACACUCGGAAUAGGAGCUGAUUGAACCAUCACAAAACCUCUUGCUAUUUAAUGAAACUAACUCUGUAAAUGGUCAAUACCCUAUUUUUUGCGCACAAAUAGAAUCUCGCAAUGGACGUAUCCCUAUUCCCUAACCUAUUUUUUUUUCCUUUUUCUUUGUAAAAAAUCAUCAAAAAACCUAAAUUAUACCAUUGUGACAUUUAUUCUGAAUUUUUUUAUCAUGAUAUAAAAAAAAUCCAAAUUAUGCUUGUUAUGACACAUUUAUCUAAAAAUUUUCUUAUGACAUGAAAAAAUCCAAGUCAACGACUAUUAGUUUACCGAAGAUUUAGAAAAUGUAUGUUGGAUGUAUUUUCGGUUCCAUCAAGCCUUUGGAGCUUUCUCCAUUCAGUCUGCUUUGGCGACUUUUUGACUUGGAACAGUCCCCAUAUUGGAAUUUGGUCCCAAUCAAUGUGCGAAAUUCAGAGAAAUUGAUAGAGAAGUCGUCGAGGAGAGAGAUCAAAUCCUAACUCGUUUCACACAUUAUGCAAUUUUAAGCAUGCAAAAGGGAAGUCUUCUCACUCGGCAUUAAUGAAGCCAAAUCUUGCCCCGGUUUUGACCCCAUUUUUGCAGAAACGACAGCUGAUAAUCGAGCUAAUGAGUCUGGACCAUGCCCACUUGCAAACUCACAUCAAUCGAAAGAAAAAUUGAAGAAGAGAAAUCAAAAUUGUCCUUGGCCUGCUUGUUCCAGCCUUUUCUGAUAAACGAUAAGGUGGCUGUGAAGGCUCACAUUUAUCAAUAUUUCUCGAUUAUCAAGUUCAUCAUCAUUGCCGGUCUCUUUGGGCCUACUUUAGAAAAGCCGAUCUCGAAAUGGCAGCCCAAGAGGCCUCUUGAAGAUUUCAAUAUCGGAGGAGGCAACUGAUGCUGAAUAAAUUCCAUUCGGCUUCUGCGAAGGCGAUGAAUGCCUGCCUGAGGAUGUGAAAUCGCAGAAUGCAGAGCAUGCAGUUUAAAGUUCGCUGAUGGGGAGGGUGCAACACUGAAUCACGCAGUUCGUAGUUUUGCAAAACUGCAGACACUUCUCGAUAUCUUUCCAUUUUCUUCUUUUCCUAAAUUGUUCAAAUUUUUCCGCUCCUGUGCAAGCUCGCUGGUGAGGCUGUUGUCAAGGAGAUGAUGCAGAGUGAAGGAGGAGGCAUGAACGAGACAAAAAGAAACACAAAAAGGAAAAAGAAAAAAAAAAGAAAAAGAAAAAAAGCAAAGUCCUUAGAGGAGAAUACUCCUAGUGCAAAUAAGAUUCGCUGACUNNNNNNNNNNNNNNNNNNNNNNNNNNNNNNNNNNNNNNNNNNNNNNNNNNNNNNNNNNNNNNNNNNNNNNNNNNNNNNNNNNNNNNNNNNNNNNNNNNNNAAAGGAAAUCUAUUACGAAAAUUAUUUUUCAACUUUCUGGUAUUUAUAUGACAAAAAACUAAUCGAAUUGUGGAUAAAGUUUUUCAUGGAUUGAACCUAACUAUUUGACUUGAAAAUACUUUUCAUAAAGAAUAUUUUUUUAUCAUUAAAUUUUCAGUACAAUAAAGGACCCUCGUUUCAAAUAAUUUACCUUUUUUGAGCUCUGUAAGUGGGCUCAAUUAUUGAGAAAGAGUGCGCUGUGAUUAUUUUGGAAUUUGAAGUGCUCGAUGGCUCCAAUAGAAAUAUUCCCGCAAGUUAGACGGGGCGAAUAAUUUUGGUGUUGGAUCAUGAAUAUGCAUAACUUGGAUCAUAUCGAAGUUUAAUGACCAUCGCUGGAUCUACAUAUAAGAACUAAUUAUCCUUUUAUUUAUUAGCUUCACGAUUCAUUUUCAUUUUAGUUUAUUGUAUUUAUUAUUAUUGUAAUAUAUCAGAUUAAUGAGUACCGUUGCCUUGCUUUGAUUAAAAAAUCUAAUGACCGUAGGAAAGUGAUGGACAUUUGUUUUUAAUUGGUUAUUUCUUUCCCUAUACUAUUUUCCAUGAGCACGGGAAAAAUUAUUGAAAAUCAAAACUUAAUUGGAUUGAGUAUGAGUUAAGUCCAGUGGAGUUUUGUAUAGGUUGCUAAACUUGUAUUAUGUGAAGAUGGAACUGUUUGAGUUAAAUGGUUCCAUUUAAAUUGAACCCAAUCUGACCAACAAUUUGACAAGUCUAUAUAAAGGUUGUACGAUCAUCAAUUUUACUGGAAAAGCACAAGAUAAAUUUAAGAGACUAUCAAUCCUAAAAGGGCAGAGAGAAGCAUAAUCAAUACUUAAUCACAAUAGACAUCGUGUUGGAUUCCGCAAGUAUCCGAUGCCAUUCAAGAUAAAUUAAAUUUGGCUAAAUAUGCUUUAUACUGCAUUCUAAAAUCUUUGUUUCUCUUACUGUGAAUUCUGAAUAGUUUAUAAUGUGCACCGGUCCUUUUUAAUAAAUGAACUCGAUUUACACGUUCAGUGUUAGGCAAUGAGUUCUUACUAUUAGUGGCCACCAGCAAUUUAUGACUAUGCAGAAAAUGCAAAAUUUUAAUUUAUUACUGAUAAGUGCUGUGAAAAUGUUUGGGCAUACCUAUAUGUAUAUAUUCCUAUCCAUUCAUUCAUGGUUUCUUUCUUUCCUUCCUUUUUUCUGUACAUUGAAGCCACUUUUUGCAACUUCUAGGAAACCAUGUUCGGGUUACAAAAUGAAGGAGAUAACUGGAAGUGGCAUCUUUUCGGAUAGUGGAGAAACUGAUCCGUCAGUCUGGCAAUAUUACUCCUAAAAACAGAACAGGAAUCCGAAUGUACCAGGUACUUCUGUUUUCUGUUUUCCUUUUUUUGGCCUGAGACAAAUGUACCAGGUCCUAAUUCCUGCAUACAUAAUCUUAUAUCUCCAUGGUGAUUCCUAAUUUACUUUGACUUCCUCUGUAAAACAUUACUAGCAAGCCCUUGCUGGAAUCAGUCACAUCUCCUUUGGUGAGGAAGAGAGCGUUUCUCCGAGAAAACCAACUACUGUGCCUGAGGUUGCAAAACAACGCGAUUUGAGUGGGACGCUGGAAAGUGAGUCAGACGGGAUGUUGAAAAAGCAGAUCUCUCAUGCCAAGUCCAAAGAACUAAGUGGGCAUGACAUAUUUGCACCUCCACCUGAAAUCUUGCCCAGGACGGUGGCUUCACACUCACACACAAUGCAUCAAGACACGGGAGAACCUGCACCACGUGAUUUGCGCACAUCUGCCAAAGUUUCUA